rnacentral:rRNA from 1 species
GGAGGGUGCGAGCGUUGUUCGGAAUUAUUGGGCGUAAAGCGCGUGUAGGCGGCUUGGUAAGUCGGGUGUGAAAGCCCGGGGCCCAACCCCGGAACUGCAUUCGAUACUGCCUCGCUAGAGUCCCGGAGAGGAGAGCGGAAUUCCCGGUGUAGAGGUGAAAUUCGUAGAUAUCGGGAGGAACACCAGCGGCGAAGGCGGCUCUCUGGACGGUGACUGACGCUGAGACGCGAAAGCGUGGGGAGCAAACAGGAUUAGAUACCCUGGUAGUCCACGCCGUAAACGUUGGGCGCUAGGUGUCGCGGGUAUUGACCCCCCUGCGGUGCCGUCGCUAACGCAUUUAGCACCCCGCCUGGGGAGUACGGUCGCAAGGCUA